GACGAACGCUGGCGGCGUGCCUAAUACAUGCAAGUUGAGCGAUGAAGAUUGGUGCUUGCACCAAUUUGAAGAGCAGCGAACGGGUGAGUAACGCGUGGGGAAUCUGCCUUUGAGCGGGGGACAACAUUUGGAAACGAAUGCUAAUACCGCAUAACAACUUUAAACAUAAGUUUUAAGUUUGAAAGAUGCAAUUGCAUCACUCAAAGAUGAUCCCGCGUUGUAUUAGCUAGUUGGUGGGGUAAAGGCUCACCAAGGCGAUGAUACAUAGCCGACCUGAGAGGGUGAUCGGCCACAUUGGGACUGAGACACGGCCCAAACUCCUACGGGAGGCAGCAGUAGGGAAUCUUCGGCAAUGGACGAAAGUCUGACCGAGCAACGCCGCGUGAGUGAAGAAGGUUGUCGGAUCGUAAAACUCUGUUGGUAGAGAAGAACGUUGGUGAGAGUGGAAAGCUCAUCAAGUGACGGUAACUACCCAGAAAGGGACGGCUAACUACGUG
rnacentral:rRNA from 1 species